rnacentral:rRNA from 1 species
AUGGCCACCUUCGGGGAGCAGCAGAACGAGGAGGGGCACGCGGCGGUGGUGGCCAAGAGGCGAAUGGCGCGGCCGACCAAGAAGGCCAGGAAGCCAGAGUUCCUCGGCAAGCCCGUCCCCGCCGAUGAAGCCUGCGCCAACUGGCCGCAGCGUUACCAGUGUGCCUCGCCCAUGAGGGCCGCCACUGGGAUCCACGGGGUGCGCCUCCACCCCCCUGCAGCUCCAUCACGUGUGAUGUUGGUGGCCCAGCUCGCCGGCGUUCUGAGUACGGCCUCGGCUACAAACUCUGACGGUGAGUUUCAAACCCAAUUCCGCUGCCGCACUUAUCGAUCUGGCCUUGUUGGGGAUGCUCCCUGGAUAACUGUACCAUACCCAUUCCAGUGGGGAGCACUGACUUUUCAUGCUGCUGAAUGCUUUGCCAUGAUGGCAGCUGCUUUUGUUGCUCUUGUGGAGUUAGUCAGUGCCUCGUAUGGUUAG